rnacentral:rRNA from 1 species
GAUGAACGCUAGCGGCAGGCCUAAUACAUGCAAGCCGAACGGCAAGUUGAGUAGCAAUACUUGACCUAGAGUGGCGUAAGGGUGCGUAACACGUAUGCAAUCUACCCGCAACAGGAGGAUAGCUCUCCGAAAGGGGAUUAAGCCUCCAUGGGAUCAUGGGGUGGCAUCACUCCAUGAUUAAACUACCAGGGGUUGUGGAUGAGCAUGCGCAUGAUUAGUAGUU